AGUACGGUACAGUACAGUUUCGGCUCUAACCGCCUCUCGGCGUCAGUUUGUUUUUAGAAGUGGUGGGGACAAUAACCAUAAGCUUGAGUGUGGUUUGAAAAGUGCGGGGUACCCUUAUCACCUCAUCAGACUACAACAGACAUGAUUCGCUUCUCAGAAAAAUUGCAGUCUUCCAUCUCACAUCUUUCUUGCUGAACGACUUACUUGGAUUUAAUGUUCCAGAGCUGAAGUCCUCCCUGGCUGCUGCCAAACAGGAUUUUGUUCAGAGAUGAAAUGGUCUCCAAAAGGUAACAGAAGGUGAACAUCAUCUCUAUGGCCAGAAUACGUGUGCACAACCUGUCGGGAUGCCAGAGCACAAAGAAUCUGAAUCAAUAGGAGUCUAACAAGUGCUUUCAGAUCACCUCUUUGUUCCUGGCAAAGGCCACAACAGUUUUGCCAUGUGCAGCGAACACCAGCAUCCGAUCAGCAGCCAGACAAGAUAUAUCAUCGGGAAGGGCAUUACCUGAUUAAAAAGACAAUC